UAAAUACUAUAUAAUUUGAAAUCAAAAAAAGAUAUCUUUAAUAUCGCUAAAAGAUAAAUUUGCAUAAGAUUAGGUAGUUGAUGAUUAAAUAAUUAUCAAGCCGAUGAUCUUUAAUUGAUCUUAGAGGAUGAUCAAUCACACUGGAACUGAGACAAGGUCCAGGCUAAUAUUAGCCAGCAGUGAGGAAUAUUGGACAAUGAACGAAAGUUUGAUCCAGCAAUAUUACUUGAAUGAAGACAGCUUUUUUUGGUUGUAAAGUUCUUUCAUUAAAAAUGAUAAUGACAUUAUUUAAAGAAUUAGUCCCGGCUAAUCUCGUGCCAGCAGCCGCGGUAAUACGGGAGGGGCGAGC
rnacentral:rRNA from 16 species